rnacentral:lncRNA from 1 species
UCAAAUUUCUUUUUUUUAGAUUUUCUUUUUUGAAAACAUGAUCUAUUAGAGGGUGCAGGUAGAUGAACGGUUUGGAUCGUUGGAUCGUUGAUAUUAUAUUUAGAGUUCUACGUUUAGUGAAAAUAUUGAUUGAUGUUUAUAAAGUUUCUACAAAUUAUAUGACAUUGACUCAUAUUUCAGUUAAUCGUAAAUAUCGAAACGUGAUAUCAUCUUCUUACAUCCACCAGAUGAUCAUGUUUUCAAAAAAUAAAAUUUUAAAAAUGAAAUUCAGUCAGAAGAAUAAAGUGUAAAUAACAAUUAACGGUUAAAUAAAUUUAAGGUUUUACUACUACAAAAUUAUCUAUUGCUGGCGGUCCAAAAACUUUUUUCAACGAUCCAACCGUCAAACUUAUUUGUACACAUUCCAAGAUUGCAUACGUAAAAAUCUUUAAAAAACAAACAUUCAGAGAUUACGUAAUGGAACAAAAGUUUUCGACGGUUAUAAACGAAAAAUCACAAUUUAACGGUUAUUUUAGCUCCGAUCUUGAUGAUUUUUUACAAAUACACUCAUCGACCCUAUAAGAAUGUAAUGAAUAAAUUUGAUCUUUAAUUUAAAGUAUUUACACUAGUGGAUACCACAAAAACUUAUUUUAUACUUAAUAGAAGUAUAAUAUUAACUCUAAGUGUUUGUUUAAUCUACCGUUUUGACGCAAUAUGCAUUCUACGAAACUUUUUUCAACGAUCCAACCGUCAAAAUUAUUUGUACACAUUUCGAGAUCGCAUACGUAAAAAAUCGUAAAAAAAAAACAUUCAGAGAUUACAUAACGGAACAAAAGUUUUCAACGGUUAUAAACGAAAAAUCACAAUUUAACGGUAAUUUGAGCUCCGAUUUUGAUGAUUUUUUACAAAAACACUCCUCGACCCUAUAAGAAUGUAAUGAAUAAAUUUGAUCUUUAAUUUAAAGUAUUUACACUAGUGGAUUUUAUACUUAAUAGA